AUGAACGCUGGCGGCGUGCCUAAUACAUGCAAGUCGAGCGCACAGACGAGGAGCUUGCUCCUCUGACGUUAGCGGCGGACGGGUGAGUAACACGUGGAUAACCUACCUAUAGGACUGGGAUAACUUCGGGAAACCGGAGCUAAUACCGGAUAAUAUAUUGAACCGCCUGGUUCAAUAGUGAAAGACGGUUUUGCUGUCACUUAUAGAUGGAUCCGCGCCGCAUUAGCUAGUUGGUAAGGUAACGGCUUACCAAGGCAACGAUGCGUAGCCGACCUGAGAGGGUGAUCGGCCACACUGGAACUGAGACACGGUCCAGACUCCUACGGGAGGCAGCAGUAGGGAAUCUUCCGCAAUGGGCGAAAGCUUGACGGGGCAACGCCGCGUGAGUGAUGAAGGUCUUCGGAUCGUAAAACUCUGUUAUUAGGGAAGAACAAAUGUGUAAGUAACUAUGCACGUCUUGACGGUACCUAAUCAGAAAGCCACGGCUAACUACGUG
rnacentral:rRNA from 1 species